rnacentral:rRNA from 1 species
UACGGAGGGUGCAAGCGUUAUCCGGAUUUAUUGGGUUUAAAGGGUGCGUAGGCGGUUUGAUAAGUCAGCGGUGAAAUAUUUCAGCUUAACUGGAAGGGUGCCGUUGAUACUGUCGAGCUUGAAUUUAGUUGCUGUGGGUGGAAUGUGUGGUGUAGCGGUGAAAUGCAUAGAUAUCACACAGAAUAUCGAUUGCGAAGGCAGCUCACAAAGCUAAUAUUGACGCUGAUGCACGAAAGUGUGGGGAU